rnacentral:rRNA from 1 species
GACGAACGCUGGCGGCGUGCCUAAUACAUGCAAGUCGAACGCAGUGGGGACGGGUGAGUAACACGUGGGUAACCUCCCAUCAGAGGGGAUAACACUUGGAAACAGGUGCUAAACCGAUACCUCUGGAUGUACCCGCGGUGCCUUAGCUUGUUGGUGAGGUAACGGCUGACCAAUGCCACGAUGACUAGCCGACCUGAGAGGGUGAUCGGCCACACUGGGACGGAGACACGGCCCAGACUCCUACGGGAGGCAGCAGUGGGGAAUCUUCGGCAAUGGACGAAAGUCUGACCGAGCAACGCCGAGUGAGUGAAGAAGGUUUUCGGAUCGUAAAGCUCUGUUGUUAGGGAAGCGGUAUCUAACCAGAAAGCCACGGCCAACUACGUGCCAGCAGCCGCGGUAAUUC